rnacentral:rRNA from 1 species
AGUGAACGCUGGCGGUAGGCCUAACACAUGCAAGUCGAACGGCAGCACCGUAAGAGCUUGCUCUUACGGGUGGCCAGUGGCGGACGGGUCAGGAAUACAUCGGAAUCUACUUUUUCGUGGGGGAUAACGUAGGGAAACUUACGCUAAUACAGCAUACGACCUACGGGUGAAAGCAGGGGAUCUUCGGACCUUGCGCGAUUGAAUGAGCCGAUGUGGGAUUAGCUAGUUGGCGGGGUAAAGGCCCACCAAGGCGACGAUACGUAGCUGGUCUGGGAGGAUGGUCGCCCACACUGGAAGUUGGCCACCGUCCAUACGCCUGCGGGACGGCGCAGUGUGCAAUAUUAGACAAUGGGCGCGAGCCUUAUCCAGUCAUACCGCGUGGGUUAAGAAGGCGUUCGGGUUGUAAAGCCCUUUUGUUGGGAGUGAACAGCAGCAGGUUGAGACCCCGCUGUACUGACGGUACCCGGAGAAUAAGCACCGGCUAACUUCGUG